rnacentral:misc_RNA from 1 species
AAGAUUCUAUAACAAAAUUUCACUCUUUCUUGAAUUUUCUCCGUGGGUAUUCGUUAAAGUUGGUUUAUCUUGACAAUUAUUGGAUAAUAUGGUAAGUUUUGUGGAUUUUCUGCUUGCUACUCUGAAAGUCAUGACAUUAAUCUUCUCCUUUUUGUAGCUUUUCUCUAUAUUGAGUUCAUAAGGUAGUUUCUCUGUGUGGGUGUGUCUUUGCAUCUGCAUGCAUAUGUUCAUUUUCCUUCCUAGAGGAACACUUAAUGACUUAGUGAAACAUUUUU